GAUGAACGCUGGCGGCGUGCCUAAUACAUGCAAGUCGAGCGAACAGACGAGGAGCUUGCUCCUCUGACGUUAGCGGCGGACGGGUGAGUAACACGUGGAUAACCUACCUAUAAGACUGGGAUAACUUCGGGAAACCGGAGCUAAUACCGGAUAACAUGUUGAACCGCAUGGUUUAACAGUGAAAGACGGUCUUGCUGUCACUUAUAGAUGGAUCCGCGCCGCAUUAGCUAGUUGGUAAGGUAACGGCUUACCAAGGCAACGAUGUGUAGCCGACCUGAGAGGGUGAUCGGCCACACUGGAACUGAGACACGGUCCAGACUCCUACGGGAGGCAGCAGUAGGGAAUCUUCCGCAAUGGGCGAAAGCCUGACGGAGCAACGCCGCGUGAGUGAAGAAGGUCUUCGGAUCGUAAAACUCUGUUAUUAGGGAAGAACAAAUGUGUAAGUAACUAUGCACGUCUUGACGGUACCUUAUCAGAAAGCCACGGCUAACUACGUG
rnacentral:rRNA from 1 species